ACCCACUACAGAAACAGAGGGUAUGACUCAGGUGUCCGAGCAACCCGACGACCUGCCGCGUCAGAUACACAUCCAGCAGCAUCUCAAACUGCAUUUUCAGCCACAAGGAGCAAAGGACAGGAAAUACGAUCUGAAUGGCUUCUUUGGGGAUAGUGGGCAUCAAGGUUAACUCUACUGAGAACAACAAAUUGAAUCUCUCUUAAUUGUUGUUGUUGUUGUAUCUGAUAUAAUAUGAUAGUG